UACGUAGGGGGCGAGCGUUGUCCGGAUUUAUUGGGCGUAAAGAGCGUGUAGGCGGCCAGGUAGGUCUGCUGUGAAAACUCGAGGCUCAACCUCGAGACGUCGGCGGAAACCAUCUGGCUAGAGUCCGGAAGAGGAGAGUGGAAUUCCUGGUGUAGCGGUGAAAUGCGCAGAUAUCAGGAAGAACACCCGUGGCGAAAGCGGCUCUCUGGAACGGUACUGACGCUGAGACGCGAAAGCGUGAGGAGCGAACAGG
rnacentral:rRNA from 1 species